UAUAUCUCUUAACUAAAGUUUGCAAAUCAAACUUAAUCUCAAGUCUCCUAAACUAUAAGUUUCCUAGCAUUUUCAAGAAAGAGCAACGAGGAGAGAGCUUUACAUGAGAUUUCUCUUUUUGAUACUUUUUAAUCAAGGAUUUUUCAUCUAUAAUAUAAAACAGAUUUACAAAUAAGCAACUUCUUACCGUCACUGCAAGAAAAACAGUCUUCAACAACGAAAUUACAGCGACAAAAACACUUUGAUUGCAAGUUUUCGACGAGACUGAAAUUUGUUGUAGUUCUUACAACCAAAUUUUGAUUCGUUGCAGUUGUUGCAAACAUUCGUCACUUACAACUUGCGAUUAAAAUCUAUUUCAUCGCAAUUUUGGUGACAAACAAGUUUAGCCUCAUAAAAUUCCGACUAAUUAGCUUCCAUCGCACAAAGUUUAAUUUUAAAUACUCGCAUGCAAAAAAGCGUACGUCCUAACCCUAAAUCAAUCUUUCCUCGUCUCUCGCCUUCGGCCGUACACCCUCCCCCUCCCUUCUUUCCCUCUUCGCACUUCAAUGGGAGUGUUCUUACACGACGAUGGUUGACGGGGAUGAGCAACAUCCGACGGCUCACCUGUAGCGAACAGUUAAGAGAUCGGUGAGCGAGCGAGCAACAGCAAGGGACCCUAGGUGGUCGGUGGGAACGUGGAUGGAGUUUGAAUACGAGGCUCCCACUACUACUACUCUCAUGGGAAGGAGAAUGAUUAGGGGGUUGUGCGACGCUUAAAACAAAAAUCUGGAUUUUUUUUAAAGCUAAUCCUAGUAAUUUAGUGGUUACAUUUCUCUAUUUCCCCCUACUUUAAUGCAUUUCCUUUUGUUUCUAACUUGAUUUUCCGCUAUUUUCCUUUUCUGUCCUUUUUCUCCUUCUCGCAGGAUUCUGUUCGUUGAUUUCACAUUUCCCUUGCUGCUGCUAGGGGAGAUGAGGGAUACACAAGAACUCAUAGAGAAUGAAAGAAAAAGAGCUAUUGUGAAAGAAGUGUUACAAAAUCAACGUCAAGAACUUGAGAUGCAACAUCGAAAUUACCAAAAAAGAUUCAGUCAAAUGAAUGAAAUUCUAGAAAAAUUCACAAGAGGAAGUUAAUCUCUUAGUAAGGACUAAAAUUGAUGCUUAUUGGCUGCUACACAACAAGUGAAUUAUUGUUGUCUUUUCACAAACUAGUUAGUACAUGUAUUUUGGUUUUAGGUUGAUAACUUUAAAGAUUUUUAUAAACAUAUUUAUGCAUUCAUGUAAACUUUCAAGCUUAUUUGUUUCACAUGUAUACAAUGUUUAC